CAGUAGUAUCAGAUGGAACACAUUCUGACUCCUCCCAGUAGUAUCAGAUGGAACACAUUCUGACUCCUCCCAGUAGUAUCAGAUGGAACACAUUCUAACUCCUCCCAGCAGCAGGGAUAUUGAAUUUCCUGUUUAGUCCUAUUCCCCUCUUCACAUUGCUUUUGCACCAAAUGACCCCACACAGCAAGUAAGGCAAUGUAUACAGUAUUAUGUAGAGUAGCGCACCAGUCUCUCAGGCUUGACCCUCUCACCCCUGUCCUCCCCUAUAAGCCUAAAGGUCAUAUCAUAAAGAGAUUGUCUCCAGAUAAUAGAGUACAGAAACAUCAACUCUCUCCAUCUGUUCUCCUCCCUGCUGGGAGUUGAGUGGAUCUAAUAGUGUGGUAUUGAGCUCCACUGUAGAUUCCUCAAAAGUUUUUCAUUACAGAAAUCUAUAUCAAUCCCCUUCCCUCCUGUCAAACUAAUAUGUUGUUAGAUCCCCAAUGACCCUCUGGAACACAUCUCUCUGGGUUUCACCAGAGUAUGGCUGGUGCCCAUACAGCAGCUAAAACUUCAUGUGACAGCGCUUAGCUACCUGAUGAAUAUUCUCCCAACGUUUCUGUUUCCCUGUAACAUCUCUACUACCUCGCUCACCAACCAACAGUUGACCUGCAGGGGAAACCUUCUAACCCAGGCCUUUAGAAAGAGACAAGGAGAUGAGGGGCAGAGGUGUUGGAGGCAAAUCAGAGCAAUUAACUGUCUUUAACAGAGAAGUCAUGGUGUAAGCCUGCCGUAUGUAUCAUUUACAGUAUGUACCAUUUACAGUAUGUACCAUUUACAGUAUGUAUCAUUUAUAGUAUGUAUCAUGUACAGUAGGUAUCAUUUCAUGGGGCGGCAGGGUAGCCUAGUGGUUAGAGCGUUGGACUAGUAACCGGAAGGUUGCAAGUUCAAACCCCCGAGCUGACAAAGUACAAUCUGUCGUUCUGCCCCUGAACAGGCAGUUAACCCACUGUUCCUAGGCCCUCAUUGAAAAUAAGAAUUUGUUCUUAACUGACUUGCCUAGUUAAUUAAAGGUAAAAUAAAGGUAAAAUUUAAAAAAGUACAGUAUGUACAAUUUACCAUUUACAGUAGGUAUCAUUUACAAUCGGUAUAAUUCCACAUGACCUAUGGGAUGGUUGUGCAUCUGGAAUAUGAACAUAACUUAAACUAACUGAAAGAAGGUUCCCUAGUCUAGAAUGUUCCCUAGUCUAGAAUGUUCCCUAGUCUAGAAUGUUCCCUAGUCUAGAAUGUUCCCUAGCCUAUUAUGUUCCCUAGCCUAGAAUGUUCCCUAGCCUAGAAUAUUCCCUAGCCUAGUAUGUUCCCUAGAAUGCUAGAAUGUUCCCUAGCCUAGUAUGUUCCCUAGAAUCCUAGAAUAUUCCCUAGCCUAGCCUAGAAUAUUCCCUAGCCUAGAAUAUUCCCUAGCCUAGCCUAGAAUGUUCCCUAGCCUAGUAUGCUCCCUAGCCUAGAAUAUUCCCUAGCCUAGCCUAGAAUAUUCCCUAGCCUAGCCUAGAAUAUUCCCUAGCCUA
ensembl:lncRNA